GGAGCUGCCCUAGGCUUUCUAGUCUCAGCUCUCCUCCAGCUCAGCUGGUCAAGAGAGCGGAGACUAGAAAGCCCAGGGCAGGUUC
rnacentral:pre_miRNA from 1 species